UACGAAGGGUGCUAGCGUUGUUCGGAAUUACUGGGCGUAAAGCGCGCGCAGGCGGUCUUCCAAGUCAGUGGUGAAAGCCCGGAGCUCAACUCCGGAACUGCCAUUGAAACUGUUGGACUUGAGUACGAGAGAGGUGAGUGGAAUUCCCAGUGUAGAGGUGAAAUUCGUAGAUAUUGGGAAGAACACCGGUGGCGAAGGCGGCUCACUGGCUCGUAACUGACGCUCAGGCGCGACAGCGUGGGGAUCAAACAGG
rnacentral:rRNA from 1 species